rnacentral:snRNA from 1 species
ACGCGCAUGAAUGGAUUA